AGCGUACACGGUGGAUGCCUGGGCAGUCAGAGGCGAUGAAGGACGUACUAACUUGCGAUAAGCGCAGAUAAGGCAGUAAGAGCCGUUUGAGUCUGCGAUUUCCGAAUGGGGAAACCCAACUGCAUAAGCAGUUACUGUUAACUGAAUACAUAGGUUAACAGAGCAAACCGGGGGAACUGAAACAUCUAAGUACCCCGAGGAGAAGAAAUCAACCGAGAUUCCGGUAGUAGCGGCGAGCGAACCUGGAUUAGCCCUUAAGCACUCGGUGAAGUAGGUGAACAAGCUGGAAAGCUUGGCGAUACAGGGUGAUAGCCCCGUAACCGACGCUUCAUCGAGCGUGAAAUCGAGUAGGGCGGGACACGUGAUAUCCUGUCUGAAUAUGGGGGGACCAUCCUCCAAGGCUAAAUACUCCUGACUGACCGAUAGUGAACCAGUACCGUGAGGGAAAGGCGAAAAGAACCCCUGUGAGGGGAGUGAAAUAGAACCUGAAACCGUGUACGUACAAGCAGUAGGAGCACCUUCGUGGUGUGACUGCGUACCUUUUGUAUAAUGGGUCAGCGACUUAUAUUCAGUGGCAAGGUUAACCGUAUAGGGGAGCCGUAGCGAAAGCGAGUCUUAACUGGGCGCUCAGUCUCUGGAUAUAGACCCGAAACCGGGUGAUCUAGCCAUGGGCAGGUUGAAGGUUGAGUAACAUCAACUGGAGGACCGAACCGACUAAUGUUGAAAAAUUAGCGGAUGACUUGUGGCUAGGGGUGAAAGGCCAAUCAAACUCGGAGAUAGCUGGUUCUCCCCGAAAGCUAUUUAGGUAGCGCCUCGGACGAAUACUACUGGGGGUAGAGCACUGUUAAGGCUAGGGGGUCAUCCCGACUUACCAACCCUUUGCAAACUCCGAAUACCAGUAAGUACUAUCCGGGAGACACACGGCGGGUGCUAACGUCCGUCGUGGAGAGGGAAACAACCCAGACCGCCAGCUAAGGUCCCAAAGUAUUGCUAAGUGGGAAACGAUGUGGGAAGGCUCAGACAGCUAGGAUGUUGGCUUAGAAGCAGCCAUCAUUUAAAGAAAGCGUAAUAGCUCACUAGUCGAGUCGGCCUGCGCGGAAGAUGUAACGGGGCUAAGCAAUACACCGAAGCUGCGGCAAUGUCUUUUAGANCGCCGGAAGACCAAGGGUUCCUGUCCAACGUUAAUCGGGGCAGGGUGAGUCGACCCCUAAGGUGAGGCCGAAAGGCGUAAUCGAUGGGAAACGGGUUAAUAUUCCCGUACUUCUGACUAUUGCGAUGGGGGGACGGAGAAGGCUAGGUGGGCCAGGCGACGGUUGUCCUGGUUCAAGUGCGUAGGCUUGAGAGUUAGGUAAAUCCGGCUCUCUUUAAGGCUGAGACACGACGUCGAGCUGCUACGGCAGUGAAGUCAUUGAUGCCAUGCUUCCAGGAAAAGCCUCUAAGCUUCAGAUAGUCAGGAAUCGUACCCCAAACCGACACAGGUGGUCGGGUAGAGAAUACCAAGGCGCUUGAGAGAACUCGGGUGAAGGAACUAGGCAAAAUGGUACCGUAACUUCGGGAGAAGGUACGCUCUUGAUGGUGAAGUCCCUCGCGGAUGGAGCUGACGAGAGUCGCAGAUACCAGGUGGCUGCAACUGUUUAUUAAAAACACAGCACUGUGCAAAAUCGCAAGAUGACGUAUACGGUGUGACGCCUGCCCGGUGCCGGAAGGUUAAUUGAUGGGGUUAGCGCAAGCGAAGCUCUUGAUCGAAGCCCCGGUAAACGGCGGCCGUAACUAUAACGGUCCUAAGGUAGCGAAAUUCCUUGUCGGGUAAGUUCCGACCUGCACGAAUGGCGUAAUGAUGGCCACGCUGUCUCCACCCGAGACUCAGUGAAAUUGAAAUCGCUGUGAAGAUGCAGUGUACCCGCGGCUAGACGGAAAGACCCCGUGAACCUUUACUACAGCUUGGCACUGAACAUUGAACCUACAUGUGUAGGAUAGGUGGGAGGCUAUGAAGACGUGACGCCAGUUGCGUUGGAGCCGUCCUUGAAAUACCACCCUUGUAUGUUUGAUGUUCUAACUUAGACCCAUUAUCUGGGUUGAGGACAGUGCCUGGUGGGUAGUUUGACUGGGGCGGUCUCCUCCCAAAGAGUAACGGAGGAGCACGAAGGUGGGCUAAUCACGGUUGGACAUCGUGAGGUUAGUGCAAUGGCAUAAGCCCGCUUAACUGCGAGAAUGACGGUUCGAGCAGGUGCGAAAGCAGGUCAUAGUGAUCCGGUGGUUCUGUAUGGAAGGGCCAUCGCUCAACGGAUAAAAGGUACUCCGGGGAUAACAGGCUGAUACCGCCCAAGAGUUCAUAUCGACGGCGGUGUUUGGCACCUCGAUGUCGGCUCAUCACAUCCUGGGGCUGAAGUCGGUCCCAAGGGUAUGGCUGUUCGCCAUUUAAAGUGGUACGCGAGCUGGGUUUAGAACGUCGUGAGACAGUUCGGUCCCUAUCUGCCGUGGGCGUUGGAAGAUUGAAGGGGGCUGCUCCUAGUACGAGAGGACCGGAGUGGACGAACCUCUGGUGUUCGGGUUGUGUCGCCAGACGCAUUGCCCGGUAGCUAAGUUCGGAAUUGAUAAGCGCUGAAAGCAUCUAAGCGCGAAGCGAGCCCUGAGAUGAGUCUUCCCUGAUACUUUAAGUAUCCUAAAGGGUUGU
rnacentral:rRNA from 1 species